rnacentral:rRNA from 2 species
CGAACGAUGAAACUUAGCAGACUUCUUCGGAAAGACACUAAGCGGAUUAGUGGCGAACGGGUGAGUAACGCGUGAGUAACCUGCCUUACACAAGGGGAUAGCCUUUGGAAACGAAGAAUAAUACCCUAUAAAACCAUAAAAGCACAUGCUAGAAUGGUCAAAGUGCUAGCGGUGUAAGAUGGACUUGCGUCUGAUUAGCUAGUUGGUGAGAUAAAAGCUCACCAAGGCAACGAUCAGUAGCCGGCUUGAGAGAGUGUACGGCCACAUUGGGACUGAGACACGGCCCAGACUCCUACGGGAGGCAGCAGUGGGGAAUUUUGCACAAUGGGGGAAACCCUGAUGCAGCGACGCCGCGUGAUUUAGAAGGCCUUCGGGUUGUAAAAAUCUUUUGUAUAGGAAGAAAAUGACAGUACUAUACGAAUAAGGUCCGGCUAAUUACGUGCCAGCAGCCGCGGUAAUACGUAAGGGCCGAGCGUUGUCCGGAAUCAUUGGGCGUAAAGGGUACGUAGGCGGCUAGAAAAGUUAGAAGUCAAAGGCUAUAGCUCGGCUAUAGUAAGCUUCUAAAACUAUUUAGCUUGAGAAAUGGAAGGGAAAGUGGAAUUCCUAGUGUAGCGGUGGAAUGCGCAGAUAUUAGGAAGAAUACCGGUGGCGAAGGCGACUUUCUGGCCAUUAUCUGACGCUGAGGUACGAAAGCGUGGGUA